ensembl:lncRNA
UAUAUGUUCAAGUACCCAGAAGUGAGAUAAGAGCUGGGGUGUGGCUCAGUGUAGAUCACAUGCUUUGCAUACACAAGUAACUAGGUUCAACCCCCACCACCAAAAUCUAAAACAAAACACUUACAACAGAAUAAAAAAGAAAACCCCACAUAAAAACCCCAUGAAUAUAUAGGAAUAUAUAGCUGGGUUGUAUAGGGGAUGUUUCUAACUUUGUUAGACAGUGCUCCGUUUUGUAUUCCCGAGUAGCUGCACCAUUUCACACUCUUGUCAGAAUUUUAGGAACACCACAUUGAUGGUCACCACUCAACCACACCUACAUAGUAUGAUGAGCUCUCAAUCACCCCUCACUUGGUCCAAUGACCAUGUCAUAUGAUCCCAGUAGCUUCAUUGACAGUGAUGAUUUGCAGUCCCAUAUCAUUUGUGAGAAAUAUUGGCUCUGAGUGGCUGGAGGAAAUUUACUUAAGGUUUCCAUGGUCCUUUAGAGAAGCAAGAAAUGACCCAGAAUUUGUGUUUUGAGAUACUUUAUUGGCUACCUGGAAGUAGAAUCAGUCACUGACCUACAGAUCCAAAAUUCCUGAUGUGAAAAGAAAUAAGAAAAUGGCCCACAAAACUCUAAAAAUAAUAAACAUUUUCA